UCUCCGUUGGUGAACCAGCGGAGGGAUCAUUACAGGACUCGCAAGACUCCUACAACCCUGUGAACUUAACUAUAAGCACGUUGCUUCGGCGGGUGUCUCGGAGGGGGUUCUCCCUCCCCGAGACGCUAAACCCGCCGGCAGCCUACUAUACUCUGUCUCUUUGCGUUGGCAUCUCGAGUACAAUCAAACAAGUUAAAACUUUCAACAACGGAUCUCUUGGUUCUGGCAUCGAUGAGAACGCAGC
rnacentral:misc_RNA from 1 species